UCGCCGUGAUGGUUUACCUAUUCAUCAUACUGGAUCCACCUCACUGUGAUUCUUGUGACGUGUUGCAGAGCUUCUGGACUGUGUCCCUGGGAACUCAUGCCAAGUUGCCUCCACAUAUUAUUCGCUGGGGACUUACCUGAUGAAUAACUACUUGUGUCCAGAUAGGUGGUACCCCUACAGAGGAAUAAACCAGGACUGCAGAGACCGAAACGUUAGACUGAAAGGACUCGUGAAGAUCCAGUAUUAUGAGAUCCUUAAUAACGAUGCAGAAACCGAAACUACUUUAAUCAGUAAAAUUCAACAAUCCCCAUUUCUUGUUUCGUUAAAGGGGGAAUAUCUGAUGCGUUACACCGGUCCGGAUCCUAUUGAAAAUUGUCCCAACGUAGACCCGAAUCAUACUGGUGUCGUCGUUGGCUAUGGCGAAAGCGACGACGAUGUCGAUUACUAUCUUAUACGGAAUACCUGGGGCCCAGAUUAUGGAGUAUUAAACGGUCACGUGAAGGUUAAACGGGGUACGUGCUCCACUCACUGGGCCUUAAUGGGUUUCAGGAUAACAUUACAUCCAGACCGAGGAAACGACAGGAAAUAGAUAUCAAUUAUUUAUUUAUUUAUUUAUUAUUUAUUUAUUUAUUUAUUUAUUUAUCGAGUAGAUUCGAUUUAAUGUGUUAAUUUUUUUUAAAUUUAUUACGUCUGAUUUCUAAAAGAGAACAGAUGAUAUUUUUUUAAUUUUGUCUGAACCUAUGUGCUAUACUAUACGAAGACAAUAUUGUAAAAACGAAUAGAUACAAAUUCUGAGGCGGACCUAGCAGGUUGGCAACAUUGUUUUCCCAUUUAAACCUAUGGAAAUCAAUCGAUUUUCUGAGGGGCCUGAUUAUUAAUAUUGAUAGACAAAGCUAUGGACAAAGGAGAACUAGGAAACGUGGGUCGAUUCUACCGGUUGAAACCAGUGACGAGGCUUGAAUGAUCGAUUAUUAUCGAUAUUUUUCCGUUUAAAGCUGUGGUAAAUAAUCGAUUAUUAAGGUGCUCAUUGCGAACACCCUGCUCGUCGAUCAUUUUCCAUGGGUCUAAAUGGCAGAUCCAUCGAUAUAUCGCAAAGCACGCCACGCCACUGGUUGAAAUGGGUGGUUGUCAUAGACUUAGAGAGAACACGAUUGACCAAUGGUAGGGUUUCUCGUGGGUUUUCCGUUAUAUAGUUUGUCUAUUACUUACCUCCUUUGUCCAUUACAACCACCCGCUUCCACCAAUGGAAUCGCUUCAUACCCUUUUGUCCUCUUUGUCUAUUGUUUUGUCCGCCAAUUUCAAAAAUCGAUUUAAAAAUAAUCGGUUAUUCCUGAUUGUUGAAACUGAUAGACUAAGCGAUAGACAAAGCUGACAUAGGGUGUAUGGAGCGUUCCUAUUGGUUAAAAUGGGUGGCUCCUAUAGACAAAGGGAGAAAAUGAUGGACUAACUGUCGGGUCUCUCGUGGGUUGCCGUUAGUUAGUCUAUUACUUGCCUCCUUUGUCUAUUGCAACCACCCGCUUCCACCAAUAGGAUCCCUCCAUAUCCCUUUUUUCUUCUUUGUCUAUCGCUUUGUCUAUCAAUUUCAACAAUCGGCCCGCUGGUUUGAAUGGAGAGAUGUGGAGAAAAGCCGGCCAAUUCACCUCUGAAAAUUGUUUUACCACAGCUCAACUUUUUUACCUUAAAACUAUCGACAUUAAUGAGAAGUUAUGAAUCCCAAAGUUUAAGACUUCAAAUCGAAAGUUUAAUUCCCUUUCUCUUUCCGAGUGAUCCCUUCAUUUAAGUAUCUUUCAUUCCCCAACACCCCUAAAUUUAAUGUUGUGUUUCCUAUCUUCGUAAAAUACGCAGAGCCAAAUCCGACGGGUUGGUAACACUAGAUUUUCUUCAUUAAAACCUAUGUCGGACAAUCGAUUUGGUCGGAACGCCUUGCGAUCUAGCCCCUUCCAAGAGUCGAUUUAUAUUCAUAGGUUUAAAUGGAGAGAAAACAAUGUUGCCAAAUUCCUGGAUCCACGUGCUGUUCGCGUGCACGUGUGUUUUUUUUAUGAGCGGAGGUUUGAAUUGCAAGAAACAUUAUACAUGUCAAGAAAUAUUAAAUUUCCUGCUAGGAGUCAACUCCAGCGAGUUUCGUCCGCGAACCUUGUUCAAUGUGAAAUUUUGGUUAAGGGACAUGUGAUUGUAUUGCAGAAGGACCCUAGCAUUGAAUGAUGCUAAUGUGCACUUCAUCUUUGCGAUACAAUGCGAAAUCGUGAAAACUAUGAAUUUAGAUGUAAUU
rnacentral:lncRNA from 1 species